rnacentral:rRNA from 1 species
UUCUGGUCUCAAAUCAUGUAGGAUCACCCGCUGAACUUAAGCA